CAUGCAAGUCGAGCGAUGAAACACCUUCGGGUGUGAAUUAGCGGCGAACGGGUGAGGAACACGUGAAGAAUCUGCCUUCAACUCUGGGAUAACUCCGGGAAACCGGGGCUAAUACCGGAUAUGAGCCUUGAUCGCAUGAUCGGGGCUGGAAAGUUUUUCGGUUGAAGAUGACUUCGCGGCCUAUCAGCCUGUUGGUGAGGUAAUGGCUCACCAAGGCGACGACGGGUAGCCGGCCUGAGAGGGCGACCGGCCACACUGGGACUGAGACACGGCCCAGACUCCUACGGGAGGCAGCAGUGGGGAAUAUUGGGCAAUGGAGGAAACUCUGACCCAGCGACGCCGCGUGAGGGAUGAAGGCCUUCGGGUUGUAAACCUCUUUCAGUAGGGAAGAAGCGAAAGUGACGGUACCUACAGAAGAAGCACCGGCUAACUAUGUGCCAGCAGCCGCGGUAAUACAUAGGGUGCAAGCGUUGUCCGGAAUUAUUGGGCGUAAAGAGCUCGUAGGUGGUUCGAUACGUCGGAUGUGAAAAUCAGGGGCUCAACCCCUGACCUGCAUCCGAUACGGUCGAGCUGGAGUUUGGUAGGGGAGACUGGAAUUCCUGGUGUAGCGGUGGAAUGCGCAGAUAUCAGGAGGAACACCGAUGGCGAAGGCAGGUCUCUGGGCCAAUACUGACACUGAGGAGCGAAAGCGUGGGGAGCGAACAGGAUUAGAUACCCUGGUAGUCCACGCCGUAAACGGUGGGCGCUAGUUGUGCGAACCUUCCACGGUUUGUGCGACGCAGCUAACGCAUUAAGCGCCCCGCCUGGGGAGUACGAUCGCAAGAUUAAAACUCAAAGGAAU
rnacentral:rRNA from 1 species